rnacentral:rRNA from 1 species
CCAUGCAUGUCUCAGUACAAGCCAUAUUAAGGUGAAACCGCGAAAGGCUCAUUAAAUCAGUUAUGGUUCCUUAGAUCGUACCCACACUUACUUGGAUAACUGUGGUAAUUCUAGAGCUAAUACAUGCAAACAGAGCUCCGACCGGAGACGGAAGGAGUGCUUUUAUUAGAACAAAACCAAUCGGUGGCGGGGUUUCCUCGUCAUCGUUCAAUUUGGUGACUCUGAAUAACUUUAAGCUGAUCGCACGGUCAUCGCACCGGCGACGCAUCUUUCAAAUGUCUGCCUUAUCAACUUUCGAUGGUAGGUUCUGCGCCUACCAUGGUUGUAACGGGUAACGGGGAAUCAGGGUUCGAUUCCGGAGAGGGAGCCUGAGAAACGGCUACCACAUCCAAGGAAGGCAGCAGGCGCGCAAAUUACCCACUCCCGGCACGGGGAGGUAGUGACGAAAAAUAACGAUGCGGGACUCUUAUGAGGCCCCGUAAUCGGAAUGAGUACACUCUAAAUCCUUUAACGAGGAUCAAUUGGAGGGCAAGUCUGGUGCCAGCAGCCGCGGUAAUUCCAGCUCCAAUAGCGUAUAUUAAAGUUGUUGCGGUUAAAAAGCUCGUAGUCGAAUUUGUGUUUCGUGCCGUUGGUUCAUCGUUCGCGGUGUCAACUGGCGAGUCACGAGACGUCCUGCCGGUGGACUGGUGCUCGCAAGGGUAUCGGUCCAAAUCAAUCCUGCCGCGGUGCUCUUCAUCGAGUGUCGAGGUGGGCCGGCACGUUUACUUUGAACAAAUUAGAGUGCUUAAAGCAGGCUAAAAUUUUGCCUGAAUACUGUGUGCAUGGAAUAAUGGAAUAGGACCUCGGUUCUAUUUUGUUGGUUUUCGGAACUCCGAGGUAAUGAUUAAUAGGAACGGAUGGGGGCAUUCGUAUUGCGACGUUAGAGGUGAAAUUCUUGGAUCGUCGCAAGACGGACAGAAGCGAAAGCAUUUGCCAAAAACGCUUUCAUUGAUCAAGAACGAAAGUUAGAGGUUCGAAGGCGAUCAGAUACCGCCCUAGUUCUAACCAUAAACGAUGCCAGCUAGCGAUCCGUCGACGUUCUUUUUAUGACUCGACGGGCAGCUUCCGGGAAACCAAAGCUUUUGGGUUCCGGGGGAAGUAUGGUUGCAAAGCUGAAACUUAAAGGAAUUGACGGAAGGGCACCACCAGGAGUGGAGCCUGCGGCUUAAUUUGACUCAACACGGGAAACCUCACCAGGCCCGGACACCGGAAGGAUUGACAGAUUGAGAGCUCUUUCUUGAUUCGGUGGGUGGUGGUGCAUGGCCGUCUUAGUUGGUGGAGCGAUUUGUCUGGUUAAUUCCGAUAACGAACGAGACUCUAGCCUGCUAAAUAGGCGUAUUUUGACAUCCUAAAGGCUCGCCGUCUAUUGGGUGUUCGCACUCGAUUUGAUGUGCGCAGUUUUUACUGUCGGCGUACAAUUAAUUCUUCUUAGAGGGACAGGCGGCUUCUAGCUGCACGAGAUUGAGCAAUAACAGGUCUGUGAUGCCCUUAGAUGUUCUGGGCCGCACGCGCGCUACACUGAAGGAAUCAGCGUGUCCUCCCUGGCCGAACGGUCCGGGUAACCCGCUGAACCUCCUUCGUGCUAGGGAUUGGGGCUUGCAAUUGUUCCCCAUGAACGAGGAAUUCCCAGUAAGCGCGAGUCAUAAGCUCGCGUUGAUUACGUACCUGCCCUUUG